rnacentral:rRNA from 1 species
CAGCCGCGCGGUAAUACAGAGGGUGCAAGCGUUAAUCGGAAUUACUGGGCGUAAAGCGCGCGUAGGUGGUUUGUUAAGUUGGAUGUGAAAGCCCCGGGCUCAACCUGGGAACUGCAUCCAAAACUGGCAAGCUAGAGUACGGUAGAGGGUGGUGGAAUUUCCUGUGUAGCGGUGAAAUGCGUAGAUAUAGGAAGGAACACCAGUGGCGAAGGCGACCACCUGGACUGAUACUGACACUGAGGUGCGAAAGCGUGGGGAGCAAACAGGAUUAGAUACCCGUGUAGUCCCUGUCUCUUAUACC